UACGGAGGGUGCGAGCGUUGUCCGGAAUCACUGGGCGUAAAGGGCGCGUAGGCGGCCCGGUAAGUAGGAGGUGAAAUCCUGCGGCUUAACCGCAGGGCUGCCUUCUAAACUGUCGGGCUGGAGCACGGUAGAGGCAGAUGGAAUUCCCGGUGUAGCGGUGGAAUGCGUAGAGAUCGGGAAGAACAUCGGUGGCGAAGGCGGUCUGCUGGGCCGUUGCUGACGCUGAGGCGCGACAGCGUGGGGAGCAAACAGG
rnacentral:rRNA from 1 species